rnacentral:lncRNA from 1 species
CGUAAGAGGCUGUUUGGAAGGACCCAGCAUCCGAGCACUCAAAGGUCACUUCAAUGGCCUGAGGAGCAGACCUACUGGCCUUUCUGCUUCGUCCAAGCUCUCGCUUUGUCAUUUGAAGUCACACUCUGCUUAGGGCAGAGGGCAAACGGGCUCUUCAUCUUGUUCGCAUAUCGGAGAUGUAAUCUGCCCCAAACUGGAAACGCACGGGUGCCCCCGCUCCGCCUUUUCUGCCUCAGCCUGAAAGAGCAGACGGAGGCAGCGGGAGUCGCGCUGGGACCCACAUGCAAAUGGGAACACGCGCCGUCACACUUGGCAGCUUUGCACUCCUAUGAAGUGGAAAGUUUUCGCUUUGAGAGCAGUGUCGAAAAAAUUGCAAGAGAGCAUCUUUCACCUCAUGGAGACUUACAUAAGGUCCAAGAAACUGGAGCUCUGAGAGGAGAGGAAACUAGGACUUCAGGGUUACCAAUUAGCCCUAAGGUAAACUUACCAUACCCACUCCAUGUAACCAAUCCUUCACAAAUGGUGUGUCAGGGCUAGGAACAGCCCCUAGGGUUGACCUGGUCUCACUCCCUCAUUUUACAGAUGAAGAACGAAAGCUGGGAGCUCAUUGCUAUCAUUUGGGUCUCCUCAUGCUCAUCGGAGUCACAGAAGCACAGACCAUUUCUCUACGUGGUGUGGUUUGGGGGAUUCUGGGAAGCCCUUUUCUAGAAACUUGAAAAUAUUUAAGGAUUAGCCUAUUACUUAUUGUAAGAGCCACACCAGUUGUAAUUCCUAAAUUUCCAUGAAGCAGGACUUUCUACUUCCUGUCCUCUUUACACAUGAAAAUACCUCAAGGACAGACACUAGAUGGAUUUAGCCACCCAUUGUGAUGUUAACUGGAAUAAUAAAUGAAAUGGACUCAGAAGUCACAGGAACAGGAGACUGAGUCUCCUCCUUCCCCACAUGAGCUGUGGGGCUUCUGACAAAUUAUUUCCCUCUGGAAAUGUCAGUUUUGUCAUCUGUAAGAUGGGAAAACUGAGUAUCAGUCUCAUAGGGCAGACAGGAUUACACAAAAUGGUUUAAAACCCGACUUGACUCUCAGCACUGAGUAAAUACCAUGUAAAUGGUGGUGACCCAAUAAAUGGAAGGCACAGUCCUCAUCAUCCUCCUCAUCAUUUCUGGGCACAUGUCUAAUGCAAACAGUGUCUUCCCAGUGAAGGAUGGGCCUGCAAUAAGAGGAGAAGAAAAGAAGAAGGAACGUGGGUGUAGAAAAGGAGAUCUAGGACAUGGAAGAAAUCCUGUGUCUUUCGUAGUUUGGU